rnacentral:lncRNA from 1 species
UUUUGUAAAAUACAAAUAUUUAUACAAUAACUGCUACGUCUAGGUUGUAGUAAACCAUAGACUCCUUACAACUUGUUGAGAAUAAAACUAAGCUAAGCAUUGAAUACAUAAAGAUUUGAAAGAGAAUUUCUUGGUGAAAUUUCGGUGUGUUCUUCAAAUGAUCUGAACCCCCUUAUUUAUAGCCGCGGACGUCAAAAUUUAUUAAAUGGAGUUGAGCGGUCCGGACGUCAAGCUGGAAUUCAAUAUGGUUGAGCGGUCUUUGGUCAAUUCUUUGUGGGUCCCAGUGGGUCCUUAUGUUUGCCACUUUGUCUGCCAUAAUUGAAUGCUGUGUGGGUCCCGGUGUCUG